rnacentral:rRNA from 1 species
UACGGAAGGCAGCAGUGGGGAAUAUUGCACAAUGGGCGAAAGCCUGAUGCAGCUAUGCCGCGUGUAUGAAGAAGGCCUUAGGGUUGUAAAGUACUUUCAUCGGGGAGGAAAAAACAAAACUAAUAAUUUUAUUUCUUGACGUUACCCGAAAAAGAAGCACCGGCUAACUCCGUGCCAGCAGCCGCGGUAAUACGGAGGGUGCUAGCGUUAAUCAGAAUUACUGGGCGUAAAGAGCACGUAGGUGGUUUUUUAAGUCAGAUGUGAAUCCCUGGGCUUAACUUAGGAACUGCAUUUGAAACUGAAAUACUAGAGUAUCGUAGAGGGAGGUAGAAUUCUAGGUGUAGCGGUGAAAUGCGUAGAUAUCUGGAGGAAUACCUGUGGCGAAAGCGGCCUCCUAAACGAAUACUGACACUGAGGUGCGAAAGCGUGGGGAGCGAAACAGGAUUAGAUACC